UCCAUUCAUUUUCCUAAUCAUGCAAUCAACCAAUCUCCAUUAUCUUCAGCUAGCUAGCUAUAAACAUGCUAUAGACUGGAGUGAAAGAGGGAGAGUGUGAGGUUGAGAGACAGAGAGAGAGAGAGAGAGAGAGAGAGAAAGAAAGAGAGAUUACUACACCCAGCCUUUUAUAAAGCCGUUUCUUUCAUUAUAACAGGUCUUUUCAUCAAAAUGACACAGAACCUUUAAAUUUGGGCAUAAUACUCCAGUACAGUACGCAGCUCUAGCUAAAAACUGAUUUAGAACCUGCUCCAGAAAGCAAACAAACUCCCUCGUUUGACACACAAAUUGUUUACGAUUCAUUAAAAAGCAAAAUUGCAUAUCACAGUGCUGGCAGCUGAGUCCAUAUGGGUGCAAGGGGUAUUCACUCAUCUCUUUGUAUGCUGGCAGUACCAAACCGAAGUUUAGCACUGUGCAGCUGAGAUUUUGUGCAGCCAGACGAUGCAUGAGAUGCCGUUUUGGAAACAAACAUCUAAGUAGUUUUCCUUCAAUCAGGAAAAAAACCACACACCAGAAAAUGGCUACAUGUUUUGAAUUUAACUCUUGUCAAUCAGCAUUCUGCACAACACUCCCUGUGAAUGGUACUAGGACAAAACGAUGCCUUCCAACGACUAAUAAGCCACAAAGAUGUUUGCUUCUAACUCAGAGCUGUUCCGAAGGAAGAAAAAGCUUUCCUGCUGCGUGGACAUUCGUGCAGGCACAGCUGCAAAAUCAAAAUGCUUGCAAUAUAUGAGUGAUACUUCAACUUGGAAAUAAGUUAGGUGUCUGUGUUUGUGGGCUACGGGGGAAGAGAUUUGUUUUCCGACAGCUUUAGGCCUCAAGCAAUGAACUGAAGUACUUGCCAGUUGCUUUCUGACUUCCUACUGGAGAAGCGGCCAACUAUCCAAAAAUAAAUUCGCUUCAUUGUCGAGCAGAGUUACCUGCCGCAGCACCCGCAGCACGAGCGUGCCCCUCGGUAUCUGCCCUCGGCGGCACGUUUGGUGAGGUCAUCGUUGCUAUCAAGUGUACGAGACCAGGACGGAAUGCUAAAAAAGGCUAAUAAAGUAUAUUAAUUCAGAUGACUCUAUCAAGCUGGCAUUUUACAGUCUACUGGAAACUGAAUGCAUGAAAGCAUUAGAAAUGUUGGCAUAGCGGGCGCUUUCUCCAAAUGUUGGCUUCUACUGUUCACGUCGGGAAAAGAAACCCGCAGAACUGCGUGGAGCCCCAGCGCUAGGCACAUCUUUAGGAUCCUGGGGCUCCCUGCUAAAACACCUAUUAAUUGCACCGUGUCUACUGCUCGUUAACACUUUCUUGUUUCCCUUUACCCCCCUUAUUUCUUCAGUGGCAAUUGCUUAGAACCUUUUUGGAAGGUUGCAACCGAUUAGAUCUGUUCCUAAUUUGGGAGGCGUUUUGCUUGGGAAGCCUGCGCUUAGACGGGUUACGGAGAGGAUUUCCUUAUCUCGAGCAGCGACAAUUAGUUCAAGUGCCACGUGAGAGCAGGCAGUUGAUUUUUGGACAGCCUCUGAACUUAUGCAAAGUUGCUGACAAUGAGUGUGUGUUCUAGCUUUUGGAAAUCCUAUAAUCCUGGCUUCAAUCAAGAGGAUCUGCUGUUGCUGAAGGCGUAAACAAGGACAGAAGCAGCACGUGACCGCUGUGCCUGCACCUUCAAGAGCUCCUCAGCCAAAAUGAGUGCAGCAGUAAAGCUUCUGCGGGAUACUCAAGGUGACCCACACAUGCUGGAUGCUGUGGCCAAACCCAGGGAAAGAAGUCCUUUCCCCUUCCAUAGGAAAGUUGUCUUGGGUCUCUGCAUUUUCCCCGUAGCUCUGUUGUAUGUAUUCCUGCCCGUUCCCCUCUCGCUCCUCUGAAUUUCUUCCUGCCAUCUGCACUCUCCCUUUUGCCUCGUCUGAAGCAAGCCCCAAGAUCCUGCUCCUGACAGAGCGGUCUGUCAGCGUGGACACCCUGACACCACAGACAGGGCUGGGACUUUGCGUCUCAAAGAAGCAGGAGCAGAUGAAAGGACUUAAGGGGAAGGAACGACACACAAACAUUACAGAAAAUGUAAAAAUUCUUCUCUAUCAAGCCAAAACGUAAAGGAACAUAAGCCAGAUUUAUUUGGAAGUUGAAACAUACCCAACUAUUUCCUAAUCUGUAGCCAUAAAUUAACACAACAGUCCAACACAACCUUCAGCUGAGACAGCUGCAUCAAAGGUAACAUCACCCCCCUGAGGCAGGCAUUCAGGAUGUACCCAGAAAAUAUUCUUAUCAGAUGCUGUGUCCUCGGGAAGGGGGACUGAGGACCAAUAAAUCAGGUGUUUCCUCCUUCUGUGUAAGUCACCUGCUGUGAUCAAUAAGAAGCAGAAGAAAGAAGUUCUCUUGUUUGCAUGAGGUAAUGCAGACAAAUAGCCACGUGUAAGAGCCGCAGACUUCUGUCAGUUUUGUACCUUCUCUCUCCGCAAAGAAUGACCGGGGAUGAAAAACAAAAAAACAACCACCACAAAACCCUCAAAACUUCUGCCCCUCUCCAAGAAACAGGAACACGAGGAAAAAGAUCUCACCUCCCGCCCCCCAGCCAAUACAGGUGCUCCAAGAGUUAACUGGGAGCCAUCGCAGCCAGCAAGGGCUCUCCAGCAGUACCCGGCGACACUCUUGUUACAGCAAGCAUUUGGGUCACCAGAUGCCACCGUGGCAGUGAGAAAAGCUUCCCCGUAAACUGCUCCAAACUUCCCUCUCCUGUCCUCUUCCAUGGGGUUCGGCGGGGCAGCGGAUCAGCUCUGCAGCACACCACCAGCAGCCCCCAGGCCGAUCUCUCCAGCCCAGCCUCCGAUCUCCGUGAAGCCAGCCACUGGCGGAUCACAGCCUGGUAUCCACAGCACAGCUGCCAAUGGCAGCACGGCAAACCAGCCUGAGCUGCCAACUGAAACGACUCUUUAGACAAAAAGAGACCCCUGCCAUCCAUGGUAAAUUAGCACAGGCAGCUCCACACCUACGGGCAGGAGGAAAUCCCAAGGCUGGCGUCUGCCACCUCGCAGGAAUUGUUUUGUAAAGCAGUAUGUUCCAACCUGGGAGUCGUGGCCCACAGUAACUUCUUUAGUUAUGUUUUUUUUUUGCUGCCUGCUUCUUUCUACAAUGAAUCUACCCCACAAGUCGGACAUUUAGGUAUGUACUCCUAUGCGCAGGAGCGAGUAAUAAAACAGGGCAACAGACGUAAUGAACAAACAUCCAAAAGUUAGCCUGAUUUUUGGAUGGCAGCACUGCAAAAAGAUGGUUUUGGGAGAAAAAAAAGAUGAAUGCUUCCUCACUUGGAGAGGACGGCAUGCUCAGUGGAGAAAGGCUCUCACCCAAUGUUCAGUACUGCAACCCGAGUAAGUUUCCCGUGCUAAUUCCUGGCAGAGGCCAUCCAAGAUGUGACCAGUCUGUGGGAAAGUGAGACCAGGGUGGGAUUUGGAUUUUAAUGGGGCUGGGGGUCUGCACAUCUGCCACAGCAUCAGCUGAGACACGGCUGCAGUGCACGCCACUGGGCCAGCUGAUGCUGCUGAAAGCAGAAGCCAAGCAAGAUGAUGAGUCCUCUGCAGAGACAUCCUUCUUUAAUUACUGUGCUUUCAGCCUCCUGCUCCUUUUCCACCUUUCUUUCCUCCCUGGAACACAAAAGGGGAUAAAGGGUGGAACAGCAACUGGCUGUCAAUUGACUCUGGAGGGAAGUUAGAUGGAGGAGAGGAAGGAAAAUCCGUGUUGAGAUGGCACUUCUGGUCCCCUCUGACCAGCACAGCAGCCUAAGCAAAGCCACCUCCCCCUGCUCCCUCCUCUCCCCUCUGAAAUCCCAGCAUCGACAGGGGACAGGGACAGCAGCCCACUGCCGGGAGGGGACAGAAACGCCUCCUGCCAGCUGCAGCAGCCCCAGCUGCUGACAGAGGACACGUGCUGCUGGAAAGGGACCUGCUGGGAGAUGUGCUGGGAGCAACCGGGGCCAGAUCCUGUCUGCUCCCCAGAUAUCCUCCAACAUGGCCCAGAAGUUCACUGCCAGCUCAGAUACAGAGCAGAAUGUAACUUAUUGCGUCCAGCAAUAAACAAAAUAUUACGUGCACUUUUGACGCUAUAAAACCUUUUAAAAGACUUUUAAACCUUUCACUGCGGGACGUAAUGAAACCUCUAUUGCUAUCUGCAGCAGACCUGGCCUUCAAACACGUAAUUAAGCGGUCACAAAUUGCAAAAUUGGUUAGUUUGGUUCCCCCACUAUGCAAACACUGUUAAAAGCUUUCUCAUUUGUCAGUUACUGUGUUGUAAUUGACAGGCUAUGGGCAACAAUUAUGCAACUUGGAAGCCUGAAGACCUCACCCAUGCCUUACCGUGAUUUCCCAACACCAAAUAUUUACUCUGUAUGUUCUCUAUGGGUUCAGCUGCUGCACGCACACAGGUGAUGGAGCAGCUUCUACUUGAAAUGAAAAAUUUAAAGCUCAGUAACCAUAAGGAAUCUCCCUCUCUCUUUAGGAGGCAUAGGAUUACACUUUCUAUAGCUGGCUGUGCCAUCUCUAACCACUGGAAGACUUCAUAAGCACCAGCAUAUGCUGAACGACUUGCUGCAUUCUGUAGCUCUAAUAGUAUGGACAUGGAUACAUGUCCCAGAGACCAGAAACACCAUAUGCUCUUGCAAGUGCUGGGUCUUCUGCGCUGUCUCAUGUACUCCUCCUAUUCCUCAGACCACUCAGCGCACUGAACAUCCAACACAUUUAUACAUAAGCAAGGAAUAUGCUAUUGUAUGUACCUUAUAAGAGAUUUUCUUCUAUACUUCAUUAUGUGAAGUAUAAAAAAAUAAAUAGAUGCAGGAGAUUGUGUGUAAAUCAUUUCAAUCGAUUCCCUUCAAGACUUCCAGCAGUAGCUUUUUGGCUCUACCCAUCAGACCAAGAAUGUUUCCAGCACAAUUGCUACUGCUGAAGCUUCUGUUCUUUAUGCAAAAAUCCUAGAUUACUGGGAUGAAAACAGAACUAAGUCAAAAAUACCCAAGGAAAGAAGACAACUGAAAGACAGACAUUCUUUUACAGGUUUUUCUAACUAUUAUCUAGCAGCUAUUUAACUCAUAAGGGCCAAUAGGCCAGUUCAAAAUAUAUGUUACGUUUCAUGGCAAAUAUCUAAACUGUGGCUUUUAAAUCCCCACUCUGAACGAGGGUCUACAGAAAGCACCAAGCAUCUUGGAGGAUCACCAGGAAGAACAUAAGGAAGAUACAAUACUCCUGUGUGCUUCUGUGGGUGAUGGGGGGAACCACAGUCUGCUCUUUUAAGAGCAGAGAGACUGCUCCCAAUCUGGAUUUGUACUGGUUUUCCAGCAGGAAUCCCCACGUGCCAAAGAGCAAAGGUCCAGACUGACUAACGUCUGGGAAGAAGAAACCUCUCAGCUUUGACUACCCUGUGCCAUGUUUUGUUUCACCAGCACAGCUCACGGAGUUCAAACAAAGAAGGGCAGCGAACAAAACUGCUUGAGGAAGCAAGCAGUGGGACCCCAUGCCACAGGGUACUCAGAUGCUACAAGUUUCAUUUAUUUAUUUUUUAAAAAGGUGGUUGAUGACAGCAUUUGGUAGAAACCCUUGCUUAUAUUUGCUAGAACUUGCUUUCCAGAUUCAGGCUCCCCUCAAUUCCAUUUUUUUUCUUCCCCUGCACACUGCCCCUCCGUGUUAAGACACCCACAGGUACCUUGCAUGCUUAGUAGCAAAUAAAAACGCUUUGCUAUUAAAAGGA